rnacentral:tRNA from 1 species
UGGGACUUAGCUCAGUGGUAGAGCAUUUGACUAACAUUAGAGAUCUGGGUUCAAUUCCCAGUACCAA